rnacentral:lncRNA from 1 species
AGCCUGGGUUCACGCUCGCGCCUCUCCCUCCACACCUCCCUGCAAGCUGAGGGAGCCAGCUCCGGCCUAGGCCAGCCCAGGAAGGGGCUCUCACAGUGCAGCGGCGGGCUGAAAGGCUCCUCAAGUGCCGCCAAAGUGGGAGCCCAGGCAGAGGAGGCGCCGAGAGCGACUGAGGGCUGCCAGCAUGCUGUCACCUCUCACUAGUUUAGGAAAAUUCUGUUGACCUAUAAUGAAGUUUACAGAUUUUUCCUCAUAUCUGUCCAGUCUACGGAUUAGAUCUUCAAAGAUAAACUUCCUUUGACGCUGACCCUCAACAACAUUCGAUCUACUUAUUCUUAUCAUUGUUUGAGAUGAAAUCCCACUAUUUUGCCCAGGCUCAUCUAUAACUUCUGAGCUCAAGACAUCCUCCUGCUUUGACCUUCCAAAGUGCUGGGAUAGGGGUUUUGUGCAAAUAUCUGCUGAGUGAACUACUUAUUUGAAAAUACAUCAUUGGUUAAUAUUCCCUUUUGCUCAUUGAAAUCUCAAAGACUACAGACAAACUACAAUAAAGCCAUGCCCUGACUGGAUGUGCCUAACAUUUGUCUGGUGCUUAAAGGAGUUGGCUGCAUGCGUGGAAAUGUUGGAAAGUCACCAAAAAUAGUUCUCCAAGUCAGAAGCGGUGCAAAAGCUGCCUCAGCUCUUGGUGGAUUUUCAAUUUCUCCCAGCCAUCUCUGUUUCGCUAAAGGUUUCUGAAGACAGUGGAAUGCUGUUGAAGACACCACCUUGAUAAAACAAAAACAUCAGCCAAAUUAAAUUUAAAGGAGUUUAAUUGAGCAAAGAAUUAUUCAUGAAUCAAGCAGUCUUCCAAGCCAGAGUAGGCUCAAAUACUCCAGCACAGCCACGUGGUGGAAGAUUUAUGGACAAAAGAAGAAAAGUAACAUAUAGAAAAUGGAAAUGAGGGGAAGCUUUUUUCUCCUCCCCAUCCUGAUCACUAGUAUGAGAAGGGGUGCUAAUGGACCAGCCUUGGCCUUGCAGAUGAAGAUGAUGAAGGAAGAAGAUGUAUAAAGAACCUCUGAAAGAGUCCCAGUUUUACAUUUCAAAGUCUUUUUCCUUCUGUUGUUUAUUGUGUUGGGUUGGAGUGGAGGAUAUUUGAUGGAGAAUUGAUUCUGAAACUUGCCAAAAUAUGGAUAAUACUUUGCUCCUUUUCCAUUGUGGGUUAUCACAAAGAAGAGUUUCACUUUUAGUCAUCUAUUUACAGGUACGGCAAUAGCUAUUUUCUUUUUCUUUUUUUUAUUUUAGGUUUUAUUUUAGGUACAUGUGAAGGUUUCUUGUAUAGGUAAACUAGUGUCAUGUGGGAUUGUUGCACAGAUUAUUUUAUCAACCAGGUAUUAAGGAAGCUCAGUACCCAAUAGUUAUAUUUUCUGCUCCUCUCCCUCAUCCCACUCUCCACCCUGAGGUCGACCCCAGUGUCUGUUGUUUCCUUCUUUCUGUUAAUGAGUUCUCAUCAUUUAGCUCCCACUUAUAAGUGAGAACAUGUGCUAUGUGUUUUUCUGUUCCUGUGUUAGUUGGCUAAGGAUAAUGGCCUCCAGCUCCAUUUUUGUUUCCCUCUCCAGCAUCUGUUUUUUUUUUUAAUUUUUAGUAAUAUCCAUUCUGACUGGUAUGAGAUGGUAUCUCAUUGUGGUUCUGACUUGCAUUUCUGUAAUGGUCAAUGAUGUUCAGCUUUUCUUUUCAUGUGCUUGUUGCCCACAUGUAUGUUUUGUUUUGAAAAGUGUUUGUUCGUGUCCUUUAUCCACUUUUCAAUGGGGUUGUUUGCUUUUCUCUCGUAAAUUUGUUUAAUUUCCUUAUAGAUGUUAUGACCUAGCAGCUGUACCUUUUUUAAUUUCAAGACAUUCAAUAAACUAAGAACCAACAGCACAGUUGAUGUGUCUUUCCAUGACACCUGCCAUCUUUCCUCUCUUCAUAGCUAUAAGAAUAUUUUGGAAGAAGAGUUGCUGAUAAAUGCCACUUAGGGAAUCUCUGAGCAUCUGUUAUUAUAAAUGGUUGACUAAAAUUUAGGGUAAAGCAUCCUAUUAAAAAUGAAGUUAAGGACUUUAUGUAGAACUUUAAAAUUUGUCCCCCAAAUCCUGUUGUAUGUCAACAUAUUAUAAAAUAAAUUGUAAAUAUCAUAACUCAGCAAAAGAACAUCAUCUAAAACUCAUUAAGAAUUUAAUGUUGAGUAUAUCAGUGACACAAAAUCAUGAGGCAAGAUGGUUUAAAUAUGUUACAAAUAAUAAUAAAUAAUCAUACCCUCUGAGUUUAAAUUCUUUAUCACCCUGUAUGUACUGCCACUCAACACUUGACUUCAGGGCCAUAAUCCUUAGUGAACCCAUCUAACAUCCACCUAAAAUAAAGGUUUGGAGCCACUCUUCUAUGCUUAACAAAUAGCCUUAAGCAUCAUGAAUAAACAGAGACAGGCUAGCUCCUUUUUGCUCUAUAGCCUUAAGUAGUUCUGACCAUGACUAGAAAGACAUAGCUGCAAGCAGCCUGAUCUUUUUUUAACAUCUUGACUUUUUGCAAGGUAUUUCUAAAAUAUGUUACUAAUAUGUACUUCUUGGUUGUUUUACUAAUAUUUGAAAGAACUAAAGUUAUCAUUAGUCACGUUUCAUUUGAAACUACAGAAGCAAUAAAAACAACAAAGUUCCAAUAUAAAAUCCAUUAUUAAAUAGCUUUCAACAUAAUAGAUUAUUUACUACAAAAUAGCAA